rnacentral:rRNA from 1 species
AGCGAACGCUGGCGGCAGGCCUAAAACAUGCAAGUCGAACGCCGUAGCAAUACGGAGUGGCAGACGGGUGAGUAACACGUGGGAACGUGCCUUUUGGUUCGGAACAACACAGGGAAACUUGUGCUAAUACCGGAUAAGCCCUUACGGGGAAAGAUUUAUCGCCAAAAGAUCGGCCCGCGUCUGAUUAGCUAGUUGGUGGGGUACCGGCCCACCAAGGCUACGAUCAGUAGCUGGUCUGAGAGGAUGAUCAGCCACACUGGGACUGAGACACGGCCCAGACUCCUACGGGAGGCAGCAGUUAGGAAUCUUGGACAAUGGGCGCAAGCCUGAUCCAGCCAUGCCGCGUGAGUGAUGAAGGCCUUAGGGUUGUAAAGCUCUUUCAGCGGGGAAGAUAAUGACGGUACCCGCAGAAGAAGCCCCGGCUAACUUCGUGCCAGCCGCCGCCGUAAUAC